rnacentral:rRNA from 1 species
UAAGGAAUAUUGGUCAAUGGACGCAAGUCUGAACCAGCCAUGCCGCGUGAAGGAUGAAGGUCCUCUGGAUUGUAAACUUCUUUUAUCUGGGACGAAAACGGGAUUUUUAUCUCAAUUGACGGUACCAGAGGAAUAAGCACCGGCCAACUCCGUGCCAGCAGCCGCGGUAAUACGGAGGGUGCGAGCGUUAUCCGGAUUUACUGGGUUUAAAGGGUGCGUAGGUGGGCUUAUAAGUCAGUGGUGAAAUCUCCGAGCUUAACUUGGAAACUGCCGUUGAUACUAUAGGUCUUGAAUUAUCUGGAGGUAAGCGGAAUAUGUCAUGUAGCGGUGAAAUGCUUAGAUAUGACAUAGAACACCAAUUGCGAAGGCAGCUUACUACGCGGUGAUUGACACUGAUGCACGAAAGCGUGGGUAGCAAACA